UACGUAGGGAGCAAGCGUUAUCCGGAUUUACUGGGUGUAAAGGGAGCGUAGACGGCGGUGCAAGCCAGAUGUGAAAGCCCGGGGCUCAACCCCGGGACUGCAUUUGGAACUGUGCUGCUAGAGUGUCGGAGAGGUAAGUGGAAUUCCUAGUGUAGCGGUGAAAUGCGUAGAUAUUAGGAGGAACACCAGUGGCGAAGGCGACUUUCUGGACGAUGACUGACGCUGAGGCUCGAAAGCGUGGGGAGCAAACAGG
rnacentral:rRNA from 1 species